rnacentral:lncRNA from 1 species
GGUCCACCCCACAGAGCAGGGCUUGAGGGUCUUAAUUCAGCUGGUGGCUGCCUACUCGCACUGUUUAUGAUCUGCUUGGGCUCCCAUCAUUUCUUGCCACCGUGGCAGUGCCUGCUCUGUCAUCAUGCCACAGGUACCCAUCUGGAAUAUGUGGCCAUGGGCACUGUGGCAGCAUCUGAGGGCCACAUACCCCUCCCUGCCAGGCUUCUGUGAGGUCCCUGUGGAUUCCAAGGUCCUUUCUGCUCUUGGGCGACCUUGGUCAUUGCUUUCUUCUGGACACUGCUUCAGGAGUGUCCUUGGGGAGGCUCAGUCCCAGGUAUUGUCUUGGGGGAACGCCAAUCUUGGGCAUGUAGAACUAGAGACACCCUCAAUCCUGUGUGGUCAGAGUGGGUCUGAGGGAGAGACAGGGGUAAGGGGAACUCAGAGGGGAAGCAAGGCGGGAAGGUCUGCAUACCUUCACCCUCUGGGGAGCGGGAGGGGGGGCUGUGUGGACUGGCCAGGACAUGACAGGACAUGGGAAGGAGCCCCAGUACAAACCGUGAGGCCACACUGCUGUUCCCGUGGGCACCUCCCUGAGAUUGGAACGACUCCCAGGAGAAGAAAGAUCUGACUUCUCAAGCCAAGGUCGGCCUCUCUGGGGGCAGGGAGCAUGUCUUCUCCCUGUGUCCUGGGAGGGACCCUUGGGACAUGGAGAGUCUUCCGGGAUCCCUCUGCCCCCAAGGGAAGGAGCAGGAAGAAACAGAGAUCCCCUCCAUCUAUGCAGAGUCUGGACACACUGACCACUGCAGAGGGUGCAGNUUUUUCUGUGACACCCACCUCUGGUGGGUUGGUUCCUUCCACCCUAUUCUACAAUCUUGUCUGCUCUAAGUUCAUUGCUCUUCUGCUUGAGGGCCCAGGAAUCUCCUUGAUGGGACUCUACCCCAGCCUAGCUCCCUUCACUUGCUUCUGUUUCUUCUACUUCCAGACAGGCCAGGCUGAGCAGGGGAAUAAGCAGCAUGCAACAGAAACCUUAGCUUUAAGGCCCAAAUUCUGGGUGACUCGACUCUGGGAAGGCACCCAGCUCUCUCUGGCUGCCAAGGUGUUUUUCAGUUGUGAGAGGUGAAAACUCAACCCUAUGUGGUCUAAUCAAAGAAAGGAAAUCUAUUUACAGUGAAGUCCAGGGUGCAUUGUCUUCAGGCAUGGCUGGAUCCAGGUCUCAAAUAACAUCAUCAAGAAUCUGUCUUCAUUGUUUCGGUUCUGUUUUCCUCUGUGAUGGCUUCACUUUCAUUCUGGUAAAGAAACUCAACCCCCAUGGGAAAGCGAGCUUAUCCCCAACAGUUCCAGGGGAAAAGUUGCAAAACUCCCUUUAAUUUUCUUGGGCUGCAUCCCAGGGUCAGUUUCUCAUUUAAUCACUGUGGCUCUGAUUACCCAGUCUUGGCAAGUGUAGGUUCUCAGAGCUAUUGUUUUGGGGCUCAAAGCAGUUUGAUGGCUAAGAACUCAGGUCCUGGAAUUCUGAUGGACUUGGGCUCAGAUCUCUGGCAGGCCACUUACCAUCUGGGAGACUGGGGGCAAAUGACUUCAUCAUUCAGAGUCUCAGUUUUCUUAUAUGGAAAAUGAGGAGAGAGGAGAAGCCAGGUGAAUGUGGUGUUUGGGAUCCAAAUGGGGGAAAGACCCUUUUUGUUCCUGUAACCAAAGAGCCCCAAUUGUUGUACCAAGGGUCUGGGGAAGGAUUCCAGGAGGAGGCUGAGCUGCUGGAAAGGAUGCACAGGGCUCAGGUCCGGGUCUUUGCUCUGCAGGGUCCUUCCAUCUGGCCAUCUAGAAAGACUGUGAAUGGGGUCCUUUUUGUUUCUCUUCAGAUUCAGAGCUCAGAGGAAGGCCUUCUGUACACACAAAACCUGGCGAGCACCUAUGGGGAUGUGUGCUGCUGGUGGGUGGGUCCCUGGCAUGCAGUCAUCCGAAUCUUCCACCCCACCUGCAUCAAGCCUGUGCUCUUUGCUCCAGGUAGACACCCCACGGCCACGGCUUGCUCACUGCUGAAGUCUCUGUGCUGCCGACAGCGUGGUGGGUGACCCAGAUGCAGCUGUGGGGAUGCCACUGCCUCUGUCUUGCCUGGACCCCACAUGCCAGAUCUCUGGUCACGUCUGCUCACACCUAGGGUGUGAUUGUGCAAUGUCUGCUGUAUGGCCAGGUCUGGUCACGUUUAUGUUUCCACCUGUGUUCUGGUUACGGCCGAUAUACUUUAUACCUGGUUAUACCUGGCAUAUGGUACAUGGUAACCAUGAAGAUGGCCUUAGUCAUGUCUGGGGCUCACCUGUGGCCAAGGAUAUUCAAGGCAUGUGGGGAGUGUGUCUGGGUUUUUUUUUUGUUUUUGUUUUUGUUUUGUUUUGUUUUUUGUCUGGGAUGCUAUUUGAGAUUGUCUGGUUCUCCUGUGGGUUGUGUCUGGACCAUGUUUGGAGUUUGUCUGAGGUCUGGAACCUUGAGUCCUUCUGAGAAAUGCUGAGGCCUUAUGUGAGCCUUGUCCAGGGCAGGUCUUAGGAUAUGGCUGGGUCAUACCUGGUCCAUGCCUGGGACAUUAGUGGGAUCGUAUUUAAGUCCUGCCUGGGACCAUCUGUGAGACAGACUGAGGUCGUGUCAGAUUGUCUCUGGGUCCAUGUCAGAGGAUGCUGCAUCAGGUCAGUGUGUGUUAUACAUGUUGUUUCAUGCCAGGGCAUGUUAACAUGUGUUGGGGCCAUGUCAGGAGAUGUCAGAGAGUUCUGGGACAGAUGCGAUGUCCUAGGUCCCUGUAAAGGCAUUUUGUGGAGUGCUGAUUUGUGCUCAGGUGUUUCGAACAUGUUGGACUGGCACAACAUGUGUUGUGCCACAUUUUAGGGAGCAUCUAAGUACAUAGGGGUGUGUCCAUGGGCUCUGCCUUUGCUCUGCUCUGUGCUGCAGCCUGGUAUGGUGCCCCCUCACCUCCCCACUCUGUUUCCUCCGCUCUUGUCCCCAUUCCUGCUAAGCUGGUCUUGGAGGGAGUAUGAGUUCCCCUGUCUGGGCCCUCCACUCCCCCAACCCAAACCCCUCCCCUCCCCCUCCCCAUGACCCCUGAUGGUCCUCAUUCGUGUCAGCUGCCAUUGCACCCAAGGACGCGGUCUUCUACAGCUUCUUGAAGCCCUGGCUGGGUGAGUAACUGUGGGUGAAGGGGACUGGAGACAACCUUGGGGACCCAGGGGGAAGAAGUGCCUUUGCCCACUUCUUGCGGCUGCCUCUACUAGGGGAUGGGCUCCUGCUGAGUGCUGGUGACAAAUGGAGCAGCCAUCGCCGCAUGCUGACACCUGCCUUCCACUUCAACAUCCUGAAGCACUAUGUGAAGAUUUUCAAUGACAGUGUAAAUGUCAUGCAUGUGAGUCUUUUGAACCCAGGGUCCCAGCUGAAGUCUUGGGGGCGAUGGAGGCUCUGAGAUAUCUUGUCUGGAAUUCUGGCUCUCCUAGACAGCUUUGGGGCCAUUGCUCUUCCUCUCUGAGCCUCAAUUUUCUCAGCUAUAUAAUGGGAAUAAUGGUCCCCACUAUGCAGGGUAGUCAAGAUAAUGUAAUGUAUUCCUGUCCCUGGCACAUAGCAGGUGCUCAGAAGGUGUUAAUUUCAAUGUUUCCCUUACAAAGAAGCCUUCGAACCUGAGACCCACUUGGUUAUCCAUGAAGGUUGCAUAGUAGUUAUGCUGAAUUAACGAACCACUUCCAAACUCAUUGGUCUAAAGCAAUAAGGGUUUAUUAUUGCUAACCUGUCUGUGAGUCAGUUGGUCUUCUGGACAUGGAUGGGAUCACAUGUGCCUGUGAUCAGCUCUGGGUCAGGUAUGUACUUUGCAGAUCUGGGCUCAGCCCUCUUACACGUUCGAGGAGUGGCUGACUGCAGGCUGAUCUAGGGCAGUCUCAGCUUGGACAACUGAACUUUCUUUAAUGUGAUUCUCUCCCUCCAGAAGGCAUCUCAGGCUUGUUCCCAUGGCUGAGGCAGGGUUCCAGGAGACUGAGAGGAGGCUUCAAUGCCUCUUGAGAUCUAGGUUUAAGAUGAUCACCUUGUCAUUUUUGCUAUGGUCGACUGGCCAAAGCAAGUCAAAAGGCCAUUAUAGAAUCAAAAGGUGGUGAAAAAGCAUCCACCUUUUAAUGGGAGUUGCUGAAAAAUCACAUUGAAAAGGUGUGGAUAUAAGGAAGUGAAGAAUUGGAGGUGGGGGUUUUGUGAAGGGCCUGGGAUUAUUUUCACACUUGCAAGCUAAGGAGUGAGAUUGUUAUGGUUUUGUGGAUUGUGCCAGAAGACACGAGACUCCUGUGUCAGAGACAAAGAACAAUUUAUUACUCAUAGCACAGCAAGCACACGUACUUCUUGGUUUGCAUUCUUUCUCUAAGUCACCAAAUCCUGUGAGGAUAACAUAGGUGGGCUUCAAUGCUUAUGCAGUAUGUUGCAUUACAGGAGAGGCAUACCAGGUUCAGGGACUCUAUGAUGUCUGGUAAUUAAAAGCAAGCCUGACAUUUGUGUGUGGGAAAUAUUACCUUAUUCCUUAAGUGUGUUUGCUGAAAAUGCAACUCUGAGAAAUGCCUAAGUAAAGAAUAUCAGAGCCUUGCCUUUUUUGGGCAUACCCAGCAAAAAGGUGGAGGGGUGCUCAGGGCCCAUGAAUCGCCUCUUUCAACAUAGGGGAAUUUUUCUUAAUUUAUGACAAUUAAGAUGAUGAAAGCUAACAUUUCUCAGAAACUUACUAUACACCAGAAUCUAUGUGCACAUUCCAUGACAUAUAUUGUCUAAUUUGAUUUUCACAACCAUAUGAGGUAAAGAUGAUUAUUAUUACCUCAUUACAGGUGGUGAAAAUAGGUUCAGAGAAGUUAGGGAGCUUGCCUACAUUCACACAGCUAGCAAGUGAGCUAAUGAGUGGAGCUGGGAUUCCAACCUGGUUUGUCUGACAACAGAGCAAGUCAUAUUAACUGUUACUGAAGCUUUGACAGGUGGAGUCCAGAAGGCAGCAGUGAGUUGACCAAGGGCACACAGGGGUGUAGGAGGCAGAGUCAGGAUUUGAACUCAGGUCUUCUGACUCUCAGCCAUGGGAUCUUAAUAGUAAGAGUUUGUACUCCCACCCAAGCCUGGUCCUCCCUGGGGAUGGGUGCCUGGGGUGGAGGACGAGGAGCCUGGGUCUGGUGGAUCCCCUCUUGGUGGUUGGUGUUGGAGAGGGGUUCAGAGGAGGCAGGUCCCAGCCCCAGCUCUGCCUCCUUCUCUGCCCAGGCCAAGUGGAAGCGCCUGGUCUCAGAGGGCAGCACCCGUCUGGACAUGUUUGAGCACAUCAGCCUCAUGACCCUGGACAGUCUGCAGAAAUGUGUCUUCAGUUUUCACAGCAAUUGCCAGGAGUGAGUGCUUGCUCAGGACCUGGGAACAUGAACUGUAGACCCAAGGGAGUAGAUGGGGAGGGGAGGGAUGACCAGGGCAAUCAGAUGGGACUUCCUGGAGGAGAUGGAUCAGAGUUGUACAAAGAAGGACAAGGAAGGGAAAGAGAAAGAGUGAUCCUUUCAGGUAAGCAGAAAUGUUUGACAAAGGCCAAGGGACUAGGAUGAGUGAAGCAUGUGCCACAGUAAGGAGCCACCUUGGGAAUGAGAUUGGAAGGGUUGGCAGGAGCUAUAUCUUAAGGACAUUCAAAAUCCAGGCAAAAGGGUAUGAACUUUAUCUGAGGUUUGAGCAGGUGAGGGUCAUGGGCAAAGCUGUUCUUGGACAUCUGGGUCUGGAGAAGACCAACUGAUGUGUAGACAAUGGAUGGUGUGAAAUUGGAUGCAAGAUUAGAGAGGGGAUUGGGUCCAUUGACCAAAUGGGAGAAGAUGAAGUCUGAGCUGUAUGGAGAGAGAGGAGAGAAGCAUAAUGUGUCAGCUGGGUUCUGGGUUCAUGGAGGCAGCUCACAGAAAUGGGAAUCAGGGAGAGAAGAAAGUCUGGAGAGUCACGUGUCCUGGAUCAUCCCCACCAUGUAUCUGUGGGGCCAUCUGUUCCUGGAUACUCAGUUUUCUGAUGGGCUAUAUCUCCCAGCUGUUGGUAGCAGGCAUUUUCUCAGCCUUCAGGUGAGCUAAGUUGUUACUUUCUUUCAUGCCCUCAUCCUGUAGGAAGCCUAGUGAAUAUAUUGCUGCCAUCUUAGAGCUCAGUGCCCUUGUGGCAAAACGGCACCAGCAGAUCUUCAUGCACAUGGACUUCCUGUACUACCUCACUCCAGAUGGGCAACGCUUCCGCAGAGCCUGCCGCCUGGUGCACAACUUCACAGAUGCUGUCAUCCAGGAACGGCGCCGCACUCUCCCCGAUGACGGUGUUGAUGACUUCCUCAAGGCCAAGGCUAAGGCCAAGACUUUGGACUUCAUUGAUGUGCUCCUGCUGACCAAGGUGGGUUUCUCUGGGAUCUGGAUUCAAGAGGUAGAAAGGACCUUGAUUUCAUAUUUCAAAUUGAAGACUUAGACUUGAUCCAGAGGGCACUGGGGAGUCAUGGGUGGUGUUUGAGGAAAGGAGGGAUGGAUUAGGGAUAUGUUUUAGGGAUGACUUUAUGGAAUGUAACCUGCAGGGGACUGCUAAGUCUACAACUGUGAAGGGCCUGAGAUUUUACUCUACUUAAUAAGGUAGUCAUGCGUGUGUGUGUGUGUGUGUGUGUGUGUGCGCGUGUGUAUUUAUUUAUUUGUAUAUUAGAAUCCAGAGAAGCCCAUUUGUUACUCACGGAAAUAAGGGUGGCCAUAGAAUUGUAGCCAUGGUUCCUCAUUCUAAAAUUCUUCUGAGAGCUACAUGAUGCUUUUAUCUGUACAUGCAACCAACCAUGCUUCCAUCAUAGGAGAGGUACCUCUACAUUAUGAAUCUUGGAACUUAUAUAGGACUGCUGAUACAUCUGCCCCUUCUUCUUCUUCUUCUCCUCCUCCUCUGCCUAUGUCUUGUCUUCCUCCCCUCCCCUUCCCCCUCCUCCUCCCUUCCCCCCUCCUCCUUUUCUUUCUCCUUCUUUCUCUUUCUUCUCCUUCUCCUUCUCCUUCUGUGUGUGUGAGAAAGAGAGAGGGAAGUAGAGAAAAGUGUUUUGGAGUGUAAACCAAUUGUCUUCACCAAGAAGGCAAAGUCUACAGGUUCUGUUGGCUUAUCACCAGGGGAGAUAAGGAAUCUCUGGAUUUACUAUCCAAGAAUGAGAGCAAAUGGCUCCAGAGCAAUGCUCAUUUCCAACUUCCAAGGGAAGUUGUCAUUCAGUCUCCUGUAAUCCAGGUGGCCAAUAACUUCUUUCCAGUAAGUCCUCACCAUGUAGAAACAUGAAGAUAUUCAUGGAUCACUGAUCCCUCUCACCAGGGACAAAACAGGAGGCAAAGAGGCCACGGAGGAGAAGGCCUGUGGGGUGGGGCCUCUGGUAAUAGUUUCUGGAUGGAUUAUGGAGCUUCAGAGAUUGUCUCAAGUUAGGCUUAUGAGCUCUCAGAGUGGAUAUGAUUUGCUGUGUGUGCGGGCGGGUGGGGUGGAGUGGUCUUAUACUCUCUCCAGGACAAAGAUGGAAAACAAUUGUCAGAUGAGGAUAUCCGAGCUGAAGCUGACACCUUCAUGUUUGGGGGUAAGCAUCCCAGUGUGGGACUGCAGGGGGUAGGAGUCUGUCCAAUCCCGGGGACUUGGCAGGUGGGUCCUGGACCACCCCAUCCCACCCCAUCUUCCCCUUCCUCCCUGAGGGCCUCAACAGAGGGCGCUGUCCGCCCUCUGGUGCUGAACAAGCCCAGAGACCCAAGCCUGUCUGGCUGCCUCUCAGGCCAUGACACCACGGCCAGUGGUCUCUCCUGGGUCCUGUACAACCUCGCGAAGCACCCAGAGUAUCAGGAGCGCUGUCGGCAGGAGGUGCAAGAGCUCCUGAGGGACCGUGAGCCUAAAGAGAUUGAAUGGUGAGUGCAGGUCCUCAUGUCCUGUUCUGGAACCCCUCUCAUUGGCUCUGCUCCCCUGCUGGGGAAGGGGAAAGAACUUUUUGUUGAUUGUGUCAUUAUUGCUUAGAGAGACUAGGAGCAGAAUCCAGAGGCCGGGGUCUGGUACCUAGCCUGGAGAGCAGGGGAAAGUGACAGAAAGAUCUGGACUGCUAAGAGAAUUAUUGACAAUUAUGAAGGCAGAUGAUACCACUUAGCACAUAUUCUGUAAGUGAACUUCCACUCCACUCCCUUACUUUUCUCUCCUAAAUCACACUCUCUCUGCCCCCCAAAUAUCUUCACUCCCUGAGUUUUUGCUUGUCUCUUGCCUCCUAACUCCUUCAAAACUGUUCAGCCUAGGAUUCAUGGGGGACACCUAGGGAUUGAAAUCAUUCAGUUCUUGUCCAGGAACACCUUCAUUCAUCCUGUCCCCAUUCAGAGAACACUGCCGCACUGCCUUUCUGUCCCCAGUUGUGUGCCAUCUCCAAUUCUACCAGCCCAUUCUGUGUCCUAGAGCUCCAGCCUGCUGGGGGAAUAGACUCAGAUCAGGACACCCUGGGUCCACCCCCUGGGCAGGGAUAGGAUGGAGAGUAAGAGAGGCAAGGAUAAGAGUAGAGAGAGUGUCUCAGCUGAGACCCUGAGUGAUGAUCAGUAGGUGUUUGGGUACAGUUGGGGUGCAGUUAAUUCAAGAGGACAGGGUGGACAAAAGGGAAGGGGAGGGGAGGAAUGGAAGAGGGAGAGGGAGAAGAGAGAGGGAAGGAGGGAGACAGGGAGAGAGAGAGAGAGAGAGAGAGAGAGAGAGAGAGACUUAAGUAGGCUCCAUGCUUACUGGAGAGGACGACAUAGGACUCCAUCACUUGAACCUUGAGAUCAUGACCUGAGAUUCAAUCAAGAGUCGGACACUCAACAAACUGAACCACCCAGGCACCCCCAGGAAGAUCUUUCUAGGGCUAGUGUGGGAAACAUACUGGAGAGGACAAGCUGUUGCAUGGGGACCAGGAAAAUGAUUCUGAGGCCUGGGACAGGCCAGGGUCUGGGGGAUGUUGAAGAGGCAUUGGACUGGACAGGCAUUUUUUACGUAAUAUUUUCCACUCCAAGCCUUCGCUCAGCACAGCAGUCCUGUGAGGUAGGGAAAUAUUUUUAAGCUUUUUCAACAAGACUUCAAACAAAAUUAUACACUUGGUAAAAAAAAAAAAAACUAUACAAAACAGAGUUUAGAGUAGAAAUGAAUUUUUUUUUUUAAAUUUUUUUUUCAACGUUUAUUUUUAUUUUUGGGACAGAGAGAGACAGAGCAUGAACGGGGGAGGGGCAGAGAGAGAGGGAGACACAGAAUCGGAAACAGGCUCCAGGCUCCGAGCCAUCAGCCCAGAGCCUGACGCGGGGCUCGAACUCACGGACCGCGAGAUCGUGACCUGGCUGAAGUCGGACGCUUAACCGACUGCGCCACCCAGGCGCCCCGAAAUGAACUUUUAAAAAAAUCCUUGCCCUAGGAGGAACACUUGUCAGUGAUUUUCUGUGUAUCCUUCCAGAAGACAUCUAUCUUUAUACCCACAUUUAUAUGAAAACUAUCUCCUCUCCCCUUCCAAGUGGGAAUUAAGGUCUACACAUUAACAACAUAUCCUUGAGAUCUCUUCCUUUUCCCAGAAUAUGAGUUUUUGAAAAAUAGUUUUGAAUUACAAAAGCAAUGAUGAGAACAAGUUCUUCUUGUUCUGAGACGUUACAAAGGAGACUAUGGUUAUCAUUAACAUCCUCCCCUGCCAACUUAAUCCCCUUUCUGUCUCCUGAGGGGUUUUUAAACUUUUAGACUCAUUGAUUUGCUAUGUCUCUUUCCAUAAUUAUCUAUCUAUCUAUCUAUUAUCUAUCAAUAACUAUCUAUCAUCUACCUAUGUAUCAUCCAUCUAUCUAUCAUCUAUAUCAUCUAUCUAUCAUCUAUCUAUCAUCUACUAUCAUCCAUUAUCUAUCUAUCUAUCUAUCUAUCUAUCAUCUAUCUAUCAUCUAUUAUCCAUCAUCUAUCUAUCACCUAUAUCACCUAUCUAUCACCUAUCUAUCAUCUAUCAUCUAUAUAAUCUUUUUGUCCAUUAACACAUUUUGCAUUUCCAUAUACAUACUGUUUGUAACUUGUUCCAUUCACUCAAAAGUGUGUCUUAUAGCUCCUUCUCUCUGUGUGCUGCAAAGCUUUCAGUGGUUUACUUGGUUCACCCCUUUGUUAAGGACCCUUAUGUUAGUAUUCUCAAUUAGAGUAGACAUUGCUGAAUUGCUUUCCAGAGUCUCUGUUUUGAUUUUCCUUUCAUCCUACAGUGUGUGAUAGGACUUGUGAACCAUAUUCCCCGCAUUCAUCCAUUCAUUCAUUCAGUGAUAGAGAUGGAAAGUGCAAGCAGAGGAGGGGCAGAGAAAGAAUCCCAAGCAGAGCCCAAUGCAGAGCCAAUGCCCACUGCCCAUGCAGAGCCCAAUGUGGGACUUUGACCCAUGAAUUGUGAGAUAAUGCCCUGAGCUGAGACCAAGAGUUGGAGGCUUAACUGACUGAGCCACUUAGGUGUCCCCCAUAUUCCUCCUUUAAAAAUUAAAAACAAUUUUUUAUUUGUGUGAGAGAGAGCAUGCAAGCAGGAAAGAGGAGUAAGGAAGAGGGUGAGAGAGAGAAUCUCAAGCAGGCUCCAUGCUCAGCACAGAGCCCAGUGCUUGAUCCCACAAGCUUAGGAUCAUGACCUGAGCUGAAAUCAAGAGUUGGAUGCUCAACCAACUGAACCACCCAGGUGCCCCCUACUUCCUCCUGUUUUGAUUGCUGUGUGAUAUUCUAACAUAUGGCUGUACUAUAAUUUCUCUUAACAUCUCCCAUUGAUGGGUAUUUGGAUUGUUUCUACUUUUUUACUAAAACAAACAAUAAGUUAGCAUCUGUGAACACUGGGCCGCACUUACACAUGUAAAUGUCUCUCCACUGCAAAUUUCCGGAAGGACAAUUGCUGAGUCAAAGACAGUUUCAGUUUUUGUCAUCUUAAUAGCUAUUUCAGAUCUGUUCCUAUCAGCUGAAUUUGAUGUUACCACCUUUCCCAUACCUAUAGAAUUAUUGUAUUGAAUUUUAAAUCUUUGCCAAUUUUUCAUAUUUCCUCUUUUAAUGAAUAUUUAUUUAAAUAAGGGGUUGAACAUCUUUUGCACAUUUUGGGGGCUACUCCCAACAUUUCAAAUACUGAGGUAUCAUUUAUAUACAUCAUAUUAGUUUCAGGUGUACAAACAGUGAGUUGAUAUUUGUAUAUAUUACAAAAUGAUCACCACAAUUAGUUUGCUGACAUUUUUCACCAUACAUAAUUACAGAAUUUUUUUUCUUGUGAUGAGAACUUUUAAGAUCUACUCUCUUAGCGACUUCCAAAUAUACAAUACAGCAGUAUUAACCACAAUAUUAUUAAUUAUAGUCAACUAUAGCCAAUACAGUAUUAUUAACUAAAAUACAGUAACUAUGUAAUGCUGUACAUUACAUCCCUAUGACUUAAUUAUUUUAUAACUGAAAGUUAUCCUUCACCCAUUUGCUUACCUACACCCCCACCCCCACCCCUCACAACAACCAACCUAUUCUCUGUAUCUAGGAGCCUGUUUUUGUUGUUGUUUGUUCGUUUCUUCAGAUUCUACACAUAAGUUAGAUCAUACAGUGCUUGUCUUUCUCUUUCUGACUUAUUUCACUUAGCACAAUGCCCUUAAGAUCCCUCCAUGUUGUCUCAAAUGGCAAGAUGUCUUUUUAUGGCUGAGUAAUAUUCCACUGCAUGUAUAUAUCACAUUUUCUUUAUCCAUUCACCUAUUGAUGGACGCAGCUGUUUUUCAUAGCCUUGGCUAUUAUAAAUAAUGUUGCAAUGAACAUAAGUUUACGUAUAUCUUUUUGAGUUAGUGCUUUCAUCUUCUUUGGAUAACUACCCAGAAGUGAGAUUGCUGGAUAGCAUGAUAGUUGUAGUUUUUAAUUUUUUUGAGGAAACUUCGUACUAUUUUCCACAGUGGCUGCAUGAAUUUAAAAUCCCACCAACAGUGCCCAGGGUUCCUUUUUCUCCACAUCCUCAUCAGCAUUUGUUAUUUCUUGUCUUUUUGGUAAUAGCCGUGCUAACAGCUGUGAGGUGUGAGGUGAUUUUUCCUUGCGGUUUUGACUUGGAUUUCCCUGAUAAUUAAUGAUUUUGAGCAUCUUUUCAUGUACUUAUUCAUAAUUUGUGUGUCUCUUUAAAAAAAUGUCUAUUCAGGGGUGCCUGGGUGGCUCAGUCAGUUGAACGUCUGACUCUUGAUUUCAGCUCAGGUCACGAUCCCAGGGUCAUGGGACUGAGACCCGCACUGAGCUCUGUGCUGAACGUGGAGCCUGCUUGAGAUUCUCUCUCUCUCUCUCUCUCUCUCUCUCUCUCCCCCCCUCUCUCCCUCUCUCCCCCUUUGCCACUCUUCCACACUGUCCCCUGCCUCCCCUCUAAAAAAAUAAAUAAAAAUAAAAUGUUUAUUCUGAUCAUUCUUCUGCAUACAUUGAUAAGCCAUUUGUAUUUCUUGUUAUGUGAUUAGUACUCAUCUUUAUUUUUCUCUUUGAGUUUUUCUCUUUUUUUCAUAUUUACUUACAAUAACUCAUUUAAAGAUUGCCUUUUGACUUUUGAGGGGCACUUCUAGUUAAUUGUUAUGGAGACAGAUUUGUCCAAAUUUUCUUUUACAGUCAUACUGUCUAGCCUUAUGCUAGGGUUUUGUGGGCUUUUCUUACCAGAUGUUAGGGCUUCACUUACUUGUCUCUCCUGUUCCAUGGGUCUAUUUUCCUAUUUUUGCAGCAAUGCCACACUGUUUUUUGUUUGUUUGUGUGUUUGUUUGUUUUAUCACUGCAUCUUUGUAAUAAGUCUUUUUUUCUUUAAAAUUUUUUUUAAUGUUUAUUUAUUUUUGAGACAGAGAGAGACAGAGCAUGAAUGGGGGAGGGUCAGAGAGAGGGAGACACAGAAUCUGAAACAGGCUCCAGGCUCUGAGCUGCCAGCACAGAGCCCGACGCGGGGCUCAAACUCACGGACCGUGAGAUCAUGACCUGAGCCGAGGUCGGCUGCUUAACCGACUGAGCCACCCAGGUGCCCCUGUAAUAAGUCUUAAUACCUGGUAGAGUGAGUUCCUUUUCUUUAAUAUUUCACUAAAUAUUUUUUCUUUAAUGGUUAUUUAUUUUUGAGAGAGAUAGAGAGAGAGCAGGGAAGGGACAGAGAGGGAGACACAAAAUCUGAAGCAGGAUCCAGGCUCUAAACUGUCAGCACAGAGCCUGAUGUGGGGCUUGAACUCAUAAACCGUGAGAUCAUGACCUGAGCUGAAAUUGGCCAUUUAACUGACCAAGCCACCCAGGUGCCUCUUUAAUAUUUCAUUUUUAAAAUGACCUAGCACUUCAUGAUCUUCUAUUCUUUUGGAAACGUUUUGGAUUAAGUUUAUCAAAUUCUUAAAACUACCAGGUAGAUUUUCAUUUGAAUUGAACAUAUUCUAUAGGUUGACUUGAAUAUAUGAUUGACUUGUGGAAAACAGAUUACUUCAUAAUAUGAAUGCAUACCAUUCUAGAAUGUGGAAGAAAUACCCCAUUUUUGGAUACUGAAAUACUCUUUAGUCUUUUAAUAAAGUCCAAAAUUUUUCUUAGAGAUCUUAUACAUUUUUGGUUAAAUUAACCCUAAGAUAUAUUUUUUAAUGUUUAUUUUUGAGAGAGAGAGAGAGAGAGAGCAAGUGCAUGCUCUAGUGGGGGAGGGGGAGGCAGAGGAUCUGAAGUGAGCUCUGUGCUGACAGCAGAGAGCCUGAUGUGGGACUUGAACUCACGAGGACUGAGAUCAUGACCUCAGCCAAAGAUGGACACUUAAAUGACUGAGCCACCCAGGCACCACAACCCUAAGAUACUUUCAUUGCUAUGGUGAAUCAUAUCUUCUAUUGGGAUUGAGAGAAGUUUAUAAAUUCAUUUGGAAUAUAGAGAUUUCAUAUCUAAGUUUAAUCCAGGUAUUUAUUUCUUCUUCUUCUUCUUCUUCUUCUUCUUCUUCUUCUUCUUCUUUUUCUUUUAUUUUUUCUAAUUAGUUGUUAUUUCAACAUAGAAAAACAAUUUUUUCAUUUGCAUAUACAUUUUGUGCCAGUGAACAUAGUAAAUACUAAGUAUGGAGUCUUGUAUCCAAAAACAUGUUUUCAAUAAAAGCUUUUGGAACAACUGGGGAGCUAUCCAGAAAAAACUUAACUCAACCUGCUUUUCAUGUAUUGUAACAUGACAACAUCAGGAUGGAAUCAAAUAUUUAAAAAUUUUUAAUGUUUAUUUAUUUUUGAGAGAGAGAGAGAGAAAGAGAGAGCACGAGUGGGGGAGAAGCAGAGAGGAGAGGGAGACACAGAAUCUGAAGCAGGCUCCAGGCUCUGAGUUGUCAGCACAGAGCCUGGUGUGGGGCUCAAACUCACAAACCAUGAGAUCAUGACCUGAGCCGAAGUUGGAUGCUUAACCUACUGAGCCACGCAGGUGCCCCAGGAUGGAAUCAAAUUUAAAAUAAAAAAUAAAAGUGCCUUAAACGCUUUAGAGAAAACUGUGGGAAAUUAUUUUAUAGCUCCAUAAUAAGGAAGCCCUUAUUUUUGACAAAAGUGCCAGGAAAUAUACAAGAAGAGAUUGCUGUACUGUUGCCUGAAAAAGAUAAAGAGCAGUGUGUAUAGUAUAUAGUAUGCUACUGUAUAAUUUUUUUAAUGCAAAAAAGUAGCUCUGGAAGAAUACAUUAAAAAAAAAAAAAAAGAACCUAGGCAAACUGUGAGGAUGGGAAAUGAGUGAGUUGAGUCGUAAGAAUGGUGUUUUAUAAUUUUCCAGUUUUGAGCCAGUUAACUAUAUCAUUAAAAUUUACAUCACCACACAAAUUGAAGGGGAUUAAAGAAAAAGAAUUCACCCCCACACCCCCUUACUGGAUCUUCAAUGUUUAUAAAAGGUUUCUGGUGUAUUCUCUUGUGUUUUCUAAGCAUAGAAUCACUAUCUGCCAACAAUGACACACUUACCCCCACAUUUCAGAUUGCCUUACUCUCUUUUUUUCUUGUCUAAUUGCAUUAGCUAGGAUCUCUAGUACCAUGAGAAAUAAAACAUUGGAUCUCUUUCUUUUGUUUCCUACUCAUUGCCUUUUGAUUUUGCUCUCUUGCAGUAAACAAUAUUUAAUUUUUAUGCAAAAUCGUAAACCUUUUUGUGGUUGGAUUUUUGGUCUUGUGCUUUGGACAGAAAACCUUCUAAAAAUACCCAGCUAAAUUUCCUCUCCUAUUUCUGUGAUACUGAUCUUCUUUUCCAAAUACCACUUUAUCGAGGUGUGAUGGACACAUUAAAAAGCUGUACAUCUUUAAGGCGCACAACUUAAUGGGUUUGGAGAUAUUUGAUCCAUCUGGAAUUUAUUUCGUUAUAGGGAGAGAUGAUCUCAUGGGGCAGUAGAGAACUGGGGUGGGGGUGGGGGGUAAGGGUCUCUGUUUUUGCUCCCUGGAUAACUGUUGCGGGGCGGGGGUGGGGAGGGGUCCUUAGGGACGACCUAGCCCAGUUGCCUUUCCUGACCAUGUGCAUCAAGGAGAGUCUGCGGUUGCACCCCCCGGUCACAGUCGUCUCCCGCUGCUGUACCCAGGACGUCGUGCUCCCAGAUGGCCGGGUUAUCCCCAAAGGU